rnacentral:rRNA from 1 species
GACGAACCGUGCGAACGUUGUUCGGAAUCACUGGGCUUAAAGGGCGCGUAGGCGGCAAAUCAAGUCCGGGGGUGAAAAGCCCUCAGCUCAACUGGGGGAAGUGCCUCGGAUACUGGGCUUGCGUGGAGGGGAGGUAGGGGUCGGAGGGAACUUCUGGUGGAGCGGUGAAAUGUGUAGAUAUUCGGAAGAACACCAGCGGCGAAGGCAGGCAACUUGGUCUGGUAUUGACGCUCAGGCACGAAAGCAUGGGGAUCAAACCAGGAGUUAGAAAC